CUUAACAGUCUCCAUCGAAACACCAGUAUAUCAAACGUUUGAGAUGAUGAGAGCUUUUUUGUGUGACUUAGCAUUUGGUGGGGAUUGUUGGAUUAAUGUGGGCUUGGCCCAAAUUAAUAUUCAAUAAUAGUCAAUGCUAAUGGCCCACUUUAAUGCUAUGGUGUACUAAUUAUUUAGUACCAUAUUGGAAGUUCAAAGGACAAAUCAAUCAACUUAAAUAGGUGGACUAUUGGUGCAUCUAUUGAGAAGUUGAGAAAAGGAUGAAGGACUGCCACACGCGCGCGCGCGCCGCCGCCGCCGGCCGGGCCGGGCCGGGCCGGGCCGGGCCGUGGCUCGUGGCUCGUGGCUCGUGGUAGAUCGGACCUUGGUCCGAAUAUUCCUUUCAAACGGUUGCGCAUUUUGCCUGGAGUGAUGACCGUCAUGAUAACCGUCCGUUUCCUGUCUUAUGGCUAGUAACGGACGUCAGUUACUGUCGUCAGUUUCCAGCUCUAAUGCGCGACCGUUUCUGUCCGUUGUCCUUCUCCCUUCUUCUGACCGCCUAUAAGAAUGGAGAGGGAGGGCUCUUCCAGUCACGCGAAUUGCAAACAACACAUUCCCGUCCCAUCUUCUGCGAGCAUAGAGAGUGGGAGAGCAGGCCUCCGAAAUCACCGACCGCAGAGAUACACUUGCACGGGUGUGUGGGCGAUCAGAUUUUUGGGGAGCGUCUUCGCGACUGCUCGCGUGAUCUGUUUGUCCAGUUGCUUCGUUCGACGUCUUCCCGAGUUGACGCGUGCUGCUGUUCUUCUUCCCGGCGACCGGCGACCGUUCGAGGGACUGCACAGCGUACAUCUUCCUGCACCGACUUCGUACGGCUACAUCGAACAAACACACGAGAUGUCUCGUGUGAAUGGAGCCACUGGUGCCUUGAGCAUCGGUCCCUCCGCUGGAUUUGCAGAAGAAAGUGCGAUCUGAUAUCAGUGCAGAAUAUUGGCUACAUAAGGAAUGUGCAUAUCGAGAGAGGCAACUUUUUGAUUUUUGGGGGCUGAUGUGGAUACGACAUCCUUUGUCCAUGUAUGGAAUAGGAUACAUCCUUUCAAUGGAUGCUGAUGAUGUUCACCGCAAAAAGAGAUUUACAGAGAGGAUGUCAAGACUCGAAGAGGAAGAAAAAAAUCAGGCAAAUAUCAGGAAGAGGAAGUUCUUUGCAGAAAUUCUAAAUGCUUCUAGGGAGCAACAGGUGCAAUUAGGCACUACAUUCAAGCAAAUAAAGCAGAGAAAUGAUGAAGUUUAGGUAUGGUUGUUAGAACCGUCUAUUUUUGAAAUUCAAACAAUAUUGUGUAGGAAUAUUUUGUCCCCAUAUACUGAAUCGAUCAUGUUGCACUGACCCUCCCAUAUUGCCGAUUAUUUGUUAGUUAGUAUGGAGAAUGACAUACUUGGUGCAAUGGCGAGAGUUAUUUCAAUGAGUCACAGGGUUCGAAGCUGCAUCUUCGCAUUUGCGAGGGGAAGGCAUUGUCUCUGUAUAUCCCUUCUGCAGAAUUAGUUUUUUACUCUAUCUGUUUAUCGAUCUGAAAUGUUCUAGCUAGGAUAAUAGGUAGCAAAUAAUAGAUUGAUUACGAGGGAAUAGAGUACAAGAUUAUGUAGACAGGGAUUCUCUAGGGUUUUGGUUUAUAGAAAUAGCACCAAUUACAGAGAUCUUGCCUAACACCAAAUGCUCCUUGACGAAACAGAUGAGCUUCUCGAAGAAACUGGAAAAGCUGAGCAUGCUAGUUAGCAUGAAGGGAGUGAAGUGCCAAAAGUAGAGUUGGAUGAAAUACUCGCAGCUCGAUAACUCAUUCGACUCGGCUUGUUUUAAUUUUAUAGCUAGCCAAGCUAGUAUUCUAGCUCGGUUCUCUAAUGAGCCAACUCGGGUUACCUCAUAAGCUAGCUCACAAGCCAAACAAGCCAAGCCACAGCACAAAUUUGUCUAAUCGUUGGUGUUGUCUCAUCUCUCAUAGUCUUGUCUUCUCGUAUUUAUGAUAUGUGAUAUGGACAUGUGGAUGUGCCAUAUGUUUAAAUAUUUGCAUUAUUGUAUGGCUACAUACCUAUAUUGCAUAUUUAAUAUUUGAUUAUUGGUUAUGGUUUUGUGAA